AAAAACACAGGUCUCUGCUAAAGCGUAAUGAUGUAUAGGGGCUGACGCCUGCCCGGUGCUGGAAGGUUAAGGGGAACACUUAGCGCAAGAAGGUGUGAACUUAAGCCCCAGUAAACGGCGGCCGUAACUAUAACGGUCCUAAGGUAGCGAAAUUCCUUGUCAGGUAAGUCCUGACCCGCACGAAUGGCGUAAUGACUUGGGCACUGUCUCAACUGUAAAUCCGGCGAAGUUGUAGUGCGAGUAAAGAUGCUCGCUACCCGCAAUUGGCCGGAAAGACCCCGUAGAGCUUUACUGUAGCUUAGCAUUGAGUUUUGGUAUUGUCUGUACAGGAUAGGUGGGAGACUAGGAAACCAGGGCGUCACUUUGGGUGGAGUCAACCUUGGGAUACCACCCUGACAGUACUGAAAUUCUAACUGGCGGCCAUGAAUCUGGGUCACAGGACAUUUGUUAGGUGGGCAGUUUACUUGGGCGGUCGCCU
rnacentral:rRNA from 1 species